rnacentral:rRNA from 1 species
AGAGUUUGAUCCUGGCUCAGAUUGAACGCUGGCGGUAUGCUUAACACAUGCAAGUCGAACGGAAACGAUACUAGCUUGCUAGUAGGCGUCGAGUGGCGGACGGGUGAGUAACGCGUAGGAAUCUACCUAAUAGUGGGGGAUAGCCCGGAGAAAUCCGGAUUAAUACCGCAUAAUCUCUAUGGAGUAAGGGGGCCCUCUUCUUGAAAGGUUUCGCUAUCAGAUGAGCCUGCGUAAGAUUAGCUAGUUGGUGAGGUAAAAGCUCACCAAGGCGACGAUCUUUAGCUGGUCUGAGAGGAUGAUCAGCCACACUGGGACUGAGACACGGCCCAGACUCCUACGGGAGGCAGCAGUGGGGAAUAUUGGACAAUGGGGGCAACCCUGAUCCAGCAAUACCGCGUGUGUGAAGAAGGCCUGAGGGUUGUAAAGCACUUUCAAUUGUGAAGAAAAG